rnacentral:rRNA from 1 species
CAGUAGCCGCGGUAAUACGUAGGUCCCGAGCGUUGUCCGGAUUUAUUGGGCGUAAAGCGAGCGCAGGCGGUUAGAUAAGUCUGAAGUUAAAGGCUGUGGCUUAACCAUAGUACGCUUUGGAAACUGUUUAACUUGAGUGCAAGAGGGGAGAGUGGAAUUCCAUGUGUAGCGGUGAAAUGCGUAGAUAUAUGGAGGAACACCAGUGGCGAAGGCGGCUUUUUGGCCUGUAACUGACACUGAGGCGCGAAAGCGUGGGGAGCAAACAGGAUUAGAUACCCCCGUAGUCCCUGUCUCUUAUACA